GGGGAAGAAACCCAGGUCCUUGCACAUGCUAGCCAAGUGCUUUACCUCUGUGCUACAUCCCUCAGCCUUCAGGUUCUUUUUGAUAAGGCUGGCAGCAGAGCCAGGUAAGAAGUUAGAGCAGAUGAAGAAUUGCUGAAAAAGUUGAAACUACCAAUAAGCAAUAAGGAAAUGCCACAUCAUUUAGCUCCAGGCCAAGGCUUACAGGACUGAUAUUUUAUCUCAGGUACUCUGUUAGAUAUUAGUGAUAAUAAUGUGAGCUUUUCCUGCUUUUCAGUUGUUCGAGUGAAGACAAUUAGCCAUAGGACAAGCCAGCUUAUGAUAAGUACUGCAAUAAAAGAACAUGAAAAUUUUGUAUUUUAUUACAAGAAAAAAAGAGUCAAAGUGGAUGCGGCAGAGUGGAGGUCAUUAAGUCUACCAACAAGCAGAUGCCAACAUGGAAUUGAACUGAAAAAAAUUGAAUGAAACACCUGUAAGGGGAAAAUUGGAGGGAGCUGGAGGAAGCUGGGAAGGUUAUCAGACUGAUGCAGAUCUGACUUCUGUGAAGGAACUAUAGAAUAUCAGCACUGAAGGAAGCUUUCAUCUGAGAAGGAAAAUGAGGCUGAAGAGAUUUUCCUGAUGUCAGUGAGAAGAAUCUUUCUCCCAACUCUGUCCCUCAGUGAUCAAGUUUCCUUCCCCACUGGAAAUCAACACAAUUAGUUCCUAAGGUAUCCUUCAUGACAUAUAUCAGCGAUCAAACUCGGGACCUCCCUCUUUCGAGGCAGGUAGCGGAAUCACUGAGCUAAAUCCCUGACCCCUUUUCCUGCUCAUCGUAGAAGUCAACUGGCCUGGGAAAAGACUUUCACUAACAUCUGCCAAGAACCCUCGCUAAUAGAGACUGAUUACAGAAGUCAUUGUAGAAAACAUGAUAAAAGGAAAACAAGAAGUUUGGAAUUGGUUUUCUGUCCUGAUUCAACCUGAAUGUUCUGAAGUCCAGCUAACAUGAAAGGCUCUUGAGACAUGCAGUGAAACAGCCCUCUAAUUUUCAUCUGUGGUCACCUGGAAUGAAGUACUCAUAGAAGGUGUGUCUUUGAGGGAACCAGGGUCAUAGCCAAGGAACUGUAUGCAGAGGUAUAAGGAACUCAAGGAUUACAGAAAAAGUGUUUGCUUCUUAUGGCAUAUGGGAAUUUCAAGAAUUACGGUCUCAAAGUCUAAAAUUCUUGAUAGAUAGAGGAGACCAUAGAAUUUUUCUUUGCUGAAACUAUUUUAUCAAUUGUAAUAUAGGGC
rnacentral:lncRNA from 1 species